rnacentral:lncRNA from 1 species
GGGGAUUUGAAGCAGAAGAACUCUCGGAACUGCCGGGAGCAGAAGAGCCAGAGGACAUUUUGAGUAGUUUCGAAGAGAGGAUCUAAAGGAUCCUAAAAAGACAGACCGAAAGGGGAAUGAGUGGCCGGAGGCUAACUCGGAGGGACGCACAAAAGUGAUGAUGAGAGGAGAAGCCCCUAGGCGUUGAGAGGAAGGUUGGCACUAACCUAUGUUACUCUGAGGGACCUGGGGGACGAGAAACGGGAGGCGCCUACGGCUCGAGAAGACGCUCACUAAAGCAGGGCUCUCGAAGAGAAGACAGACACCAGCGAAAACUCAGGAAUGGAGUAGGACGCCUGAAGGGGGGAGGAUGGGUUUAAAUAGACCCUGGGAUCCGGCGCCAUAAUGAUCGCGAAUCCCCCAGGCCAGUUCGCGUUCGACACGUGUCCCACUCCCCCUGACAGAUGGCUAAAAGCGGCUGACGAUUGGCAGGAUCAUAAUUGCGCCGUACCUAGGCCAGAGUACCUGCGGGAUUUUUGAAGCGUCCCCUCAUACCGCUCCAAUUCGAAAAGACUCCGGCACGCUCACAUUUAAUGCCAAAAUAUCCGGAGGCGAUAGUGCGCAGGAUUCGAAGGGACGGUUUCGGCUGUGUCCAUCUCUCUCUCUGUACUUCCUUCGUUUGAAAGUCAAACUCGGAAGUAGGGGGACUGGUGUUGGGUAUAAAAUACCCACAGCCGAAAUCCUCAGCGGGAUCGACUACG